rnacentral:rRNA from 1 species
GAAACUAACAAGGAUUCCCUUAGUAACGGCGAGUGAACCGGGAAGAGCUCAAAUUUGUAAUCUGGCUGUCUUCGAUAGUCCGAGUUGUAAUCUAUAGACGUGUUUUCCGUGCUGGACCGUAUCUAAGUCCCUUGGAACAGGGUAUCAAAGAGGGUGAUAAUCCCGUGCUUGAUACGACCACCAGUGCUCUGUGAUACACGCUCUACGAGUCGAGUUGUUUGGGAAUGCAGCUCAAAAUGGGUGGUAAAUUCCAUCUAAAGCUAAAUAUUGGCGAGAGACCGAUAGCGAACAAGUACCGUGAGGGAAAGAUGAAAAGCACUUUGGAAAGAGAGUUAAACAGUACGUGAAAUUGUUGAAAGGGAAACGAUUGAAGUCAGUCGUGUUCUUCAGAUUCAGCUGGUUCUUCCAGUCUACUUCUGUUGAACGGGUCAACAUCAGUUUUGUCCGGUGGAUAAAGGUAGUAGGAAUGUGACUCCUCCGGGAGUGUUAUAGCCUAUUAUUGCAUACACUGGGUGAGACUGAGGACUGCAGCUCGCCUUUUGGCCGGUCUUCGGACACGU